CAGAGAGCAAAAGAUGUGGGAAAAAACACGCUUUAAUGUCCCGGAAACAUAACAUGAACCAAAAGAAGAAAAACAAAUGAUCAGAAAUAUAAACGGACAGCGUGAAACCCAAAUACAAACAAAAUACACUCAAACAACAAAACAGACUAACAAGCACGCACGAAACAGAAGCGGGCUGAACAAACUAUAUAUAACCCUACCCUAACAACCAAACAAGAAACAGGUGAUACCAAUCAGACAAAACCAAAGGAACACAGAACAACGGAUCGGCGAUAGCUAGUAGACCGGUGACGACGACCGCCGAGCGCCACCCGAACAAGAAGGGGAGUCACCUUCGGUAGGAACUGGUUCCUCCAGUCUGACCGCAGCUGCUGUCUCUGACUCCACACCCACCCCCGCCCAGCCAUCGAGGUGUGAAGAGGCCAGCCCAGAAGUGGAGGAGGGCCAGUGCACCAGCGACAUCUACCACUGAGGGAGAGGACCGUUGGCACACUGUGCUUGAGGAUGUGGAGCCACUUCCACCAACAUUUAGACCUAAAAGGCAGUCAGGACCUCAGCUGGACAUGACUUGAAAUUAAAGCCCCCUUCAUCUUUGUGUGUAAACUUAAAUUGUUUAUUACCAUAGCAUGUUUGUAUGUUCUCUCUAGCUAUGUACUUGAAAAUGUUGCAAUUGACCAAUUCGGCCACUUGAAGGCCACUUGGGUACAUUUGGGCAAACUCGUGAGGGACACCUGGUAGACUUCAUACCAAAUAUUAUGUAGCUCUCUCAUUCUUAAAUGUAUCCGUCUGAAACUAUGCACACACACAAUUGCCCUGUUGUGGACAACAUCUAAAUUAUCUGCACCUUCCUGUUUCAAUGUAUGGUUUUUCUGUUGCAUUUCAAAGAUGAUGCAACAAAAAUACAAAUAGAAAACGCAUGUUUUUCCUGUUGGUUUUAUCUUUUACCAGAUCUGAUGUGUUAUAUUCUCCUACAUUCAUUUCACAUCUUCACAAACAUCAAAGUGUUUCCUUUCAAAUAGUAUCAGGAAAAUGCAUAUCCUUGCUUCAGGUCCUGAGCUACAGGCAGUUAGAUUUAGGUAUGACAUUUUAGGCAGAAAUUGAGAUGAAGGAUCCUAUCCAGAAGUUUCUUCAGUCUUUCAGGAGCUCAUCCAUUGUUGGUUUCCUGGUCUUAAGAGGUGGCUCUUUAUCUGAACUGUCAUCAGCGAUUCCAUCAUCAACUCCGGAUCUGUAAACAUUAAAACCAAUAGACAACGAAAGUACUAUAGGCCUAUACGAAUUCCAUCAUUGCUAUGAAACAAAUAUACUCCAAGAGAUAUGUAAUCUGGUGUCAUUAUCUUCAUCAUAAUAAUCCUGCAUCAUACCACCCUACCUUCCUCUUCUUCUUCUAUGGCAUAUUGACUUGAUUCGAACUCAGCAUCCACUUCCGCCAUCUUUUUCCUCUUGGGUGUCUAUUUUGUCAGGAGGCUGCCAUUUUCUCUCCUCAUUGUUUCAAGAUUAAACAUUUCGGGACCGUUUCUAUCCUCUCCAGCAAAUAAUACAACACUGACACCUACUGGUGAAAUGACUAAACAAACACAUCCAUACACUGCUAUAUCAAGAUGUAAAAAAAAAAAAAAACGGAACCUUUAUUUAACUAGGCAAGUCAGUUAAGAACAAAUUACUAUUUACAAUGACGGCCUACUAUUCCCUCUACUAGAAUGCAGCCCUA
ensembl:lncRNA